rnacentral:snoRNA from 1 species
ACUUCUGUUGUGAUGCAACCACUACGGAUGUAACGGGUAUUACCCGAGUGUCCGAGAGCGCAAACAAACCGUGUGGAUACUUCCGUUGCCUUCCUUCUGAUCUUUGCC